AAAAGCUCGGUCAGUUGUAUGUCGUCGGGGAAAAAGAGGAAUGGUAAAUGUGGAGGAAUGGUAAAUGCGAUAGAGUAUAGUAAAGCUAGAUAACGAAAUGGAUAAAGUCUCGUUAUUGAAAAGAGGAAGGAAGUAUGAAGGACAAGUGGAGUAAGUAGUGAGUCAGUCAAGUUAAUGAGUCAUGAAGAAGAUGGUAGAGGCAGGCGAGUAACAAAGUAACAAAGAGAGAGAAUAAGAAUGAGAAUGAAAUGGGGAUAGAGUAGAGAGAGUAGGGAGAGUGAGUAGAGAGAGUAGAGUAAGUAUGUUGAAAUACGUAAAUGAAUAAAUUAGACAAGUAACUAUAUAGAAGAAAAGAAAUAGAAGAAACAAAAUAAACAGAAUAAUUAAAUUAGAUUCAAUUACAACGAAAGAAAACAACAAAGUGAUUGAAAUAGUGAUUGGGGCAAAGAUAAA